rnacentral:rRNA from 1 species
CGAACGGAACUUAUCGAAUGAAGUUUUCGGAUGGAUUUUGGUAAGUUUAGUGGCGGACGGGUGAGUAACGCGUGAGCAACCUGCCUUUCANAGGGGGACAACAGUUGGAAACGACUGCUAAUACCGCAUAACGUAUUUCGGAGGCAUCUCUGAGAUACCAAAGAUUAUAUCGCUGAAAGAUGGGCUCGCGUACGAUUAGAUAGUUGGUGAGGUAACGGGCUCACCAAGUCGACGAUCGUUAGCCGGACUGAGAGGUUGAACGGCCACAUUGGGACUGAGACACGGCCCAGACUCCUACGGGAGGCAGCAGUGAGGAAUAUUGGGCAAUGGGCGCAAGCCUGACCCAGCAAUGCCGCGUGAAGGAAGACGGUUUUCGGAUUGUAAACUUCUUUUAAGAGGGACGAUAAUGACGGUACCUCUUGAAUAAGCCACGGCUAACUACGUG